ensembl:lncRNA
UGACAAGAAAGAGCGAGAGAAAGGAAGUGGAAGUAUUUUUUUGUACAUAAGACAGGCUACUAAGAAAAAGAAAAGUCCUUAUUCUUACUGCCUGCUUCAGCUCAAAUCUCAAUGUGUUGUACUACUGUCAGCAGACUAAACGGCCGUCACUGUAAUCCAUGUUGGUUGAUCUCUCCAAUGAAGUGUGUCGUGAGUAUAUGCAGCCCUGCUCUCUGUCCCUCUGGGAUUAAAGAAUAUACUCUAGAAAAAGAAGAUAGAACUUCCAACUAAAUACAGGAGAGGAUAAAGUACAACAAAAAAAAGACGGAGAAGUGGAAUUGAAUUUCUGUGAACUUCAGGAUGAAGAUCUUUCAGUUCAGGAUGAAGAUCUUCAUCUCCACCCUCUACCUGAUCUCAGGCCCAGUGUGCUGCUCUGAUGUGUUCGGCUAUUCAGGAGGAAGCGUCCUUUUAUUCUCUGAUCUGCAGUGGGAUGUAAACAAGACAAGAUAUAUUUGCAGGGUGGAACAAAGUGGCUGUCUAGAUAUAAUGAAGGAUCAGACUAAGGUCAGGUCUGUCACUAACGGGAGGUUCAUGAUGUAUUCAAAUGUAGAUGGAGAGUUUACAGUGUUGAUCAGAGAGCUGAAGCCUCAGGAUUCUGCCGUGUACAGAUUUGGAGUUGGGAAUGAAAAGCAUAAGGACAUCAAGCUGACCGUUCAGAGUGAUUCUUGUUGUGGGGGAAUUACAAAAACGAAUGCUUAUCUAGGAGAGACGGCCAACUUCGACUGUAACCAUCCAGAUGAGUUCAAGAUGAAAAGCAAGUACCUCAUCAACCUCAAUGAUCAAAAUACAAUUAGAAGAAUAAUUUGCACUGGACAAGCGUCUCAGAAGAAGCAGAAAGACAGAUUCUCCAUCUCUGAUGACAGAAGCUCUAACGUCUUCAGUGUGAACAUCAGUGAUGUGACAGAAGAUGAUGUAGGAGUUUAUCUGUGUGGAGUGUGGAAGAAUCAGAAGUCAGUGGGUUAUUACUCCUACUUCAGAGAGAUUCAGCUGAAAGUUUCUGCUCCAGGUUCCUCUAUCAUCACUGUGUGUGUCUGUGGGACUCUGUUGCUGAUUGGAGGAGCAGCACUGAUCUUCUACAGACGGAGAAACCACAUGAUACAGGACUCAGCUUCAACUGGCCAGAGAACAGACAAAAAUAAUGAAGAUGACGAUUAUGAAAAUGUCUCACAUGGAAAUCGAUACAACAUCAGCAUGGGUCCAGUCCACCAGAGCACAAACCCCAACAUAGCAGAUUUAGUCUAUGAGAACCGUGAUCCAAACACCGACCAAUCGGAUUCGGACUAUAAGAACACCAACCAAUCAGAUUUCAUUUAUGAGAAUGUGACCAUCAAGAGCAGUGGAUGA